rnacentral:rRNA from 1 species
AGCCGUGCCGGCGGUCUACACAUGCAAGUCGAGCGAGCUCUUCGGAGCUAGCGGCGGACGGGUUAGUAACGCGUGGGAACGUGCCCUUCACUGCGGAAUAGCCACUGGAAACGGUGAGUAAUACCGCAUACGCCCUUCGGGGGAAAGAUUUAUCGGUGAAGGAUCGGCCCGCGUUAGAUUAGAUAGUUGGUGGGGUAACGGCCUACCAAGUCUACGAUCUAUAGCUGGUUUUAGAGGAUGAUCAGCAACACUGGGACUGAGACACGGCCCAGACUCCUACGGGAGGCAGCAGUGGGGAAUCUUGGACAAUGGGCGCAAGCCUGAUCCAGCCAUGCCGCGUGAGUGAUGAAGGCCUUAGGGUCGUAAAGCUCUUUCGCCAGAGAUGAUAAUGACAGUAUCUGGUAAAGAAACCCCGGCUAACUCCGUGCCAGCAGCCGCGGUAAUACGGAGGGGGUUAGCGUUGUUCGGAAUUACUGGGCGUAAAGCGCACGUAGGCGGAUCAGAAAGUUGGGGGUGAAAUCCCGGGGCUCAACCCCGGAACUGCCUCCAAAACUCCUGGUCUUGAGUUCGAGAGAGGUGAGUGGAAUUCCGAGUGUAGAGGUGAAAUUCGUAGAUAUUCGGAGGAACACCAGUGGCGAAGGCGGCUCACUGGCUCGAUACUGACGCUGAGGUGCGAAAGUGUGGGGAGCAAACAGGAUUAGAUACCCUGG